GACGAACGCUGGCGGCGUGCCUAACACAUGCAAGUCGAACGGAGAAGUUCAGCAAUGGAUUUCUUAGUGGCGAACGGGUGAGUAACGCGUAGACAACCUGCCUCUAAGCUGGGGACAACAACUCGAAAGGGUUGCUAAUACCGAAUGUGAACAGUGCCUCGCAUGAGAUGCUGUUUGAAGGUGGCCUCUGAAAAUGCUACCGAUUAGAGAUGGGUCUGCGUCUGAUUAGCUAGUUGGGGGGGUAAUGGCCCACCAAGGCGACGAUCAGUAGCCGGUCUGAGAGGAUGAACGGCCAAACAGGGACUGAGACACGGCCCAGACUCCUACGGGAGGCAGCAGUGGGGAAUCUUCCGCAAUGGACGAAAGUCUGACGGAGCAACGCCGCGUGAGUGAAGAAGGCCCUCGGGUCGUAAAGCUCUGUCUUCAGGGACGAAUGUGCAGAUUGUGAAUAAUGGUUUGUAAUGACGGUACCUGAGGAGGAAGCCACGGCUAACUACGUGCCAGCCGCCGCAGUAA
rnacentral:rRNA from 1 species